UGUGGGGACUGGGUGAUGCACCCUGGAAUCGGGCUCCCUCAUCUCUGGUUCUGGGUGCAUCACCCGAGAACCACA
rfam:Myotis davidii contig53922, whole genome shotgun sequence.